ACGCUGGCGGCACGCCUAACACAUGCAAGUCGAACGAAGUAGCAAUACUUAGUGGCAGACGGGUGAGUAACAUGUAGGUAUCUGCCCUUUGGCCUGGAAUAACACGAGGAAACUUGUGCUAAUACCGGAUAAGUCUUUACGGAGAAAGCUUUAUGCACCAUUGGAUGAGCCUGCACUUGAUUAGUUUGUUGGUGGGGUAAUGGCCUACCAAGACUGUGAUCAAUAGCUGAUUUGAGAGGAUGAUCAGCCACAUUGGGACUGAGACACGGCCCAAACUCCUACGGGAGGCAGCAGUGGGGAAUCUUGCACAAUGGAGGAAACUCUGAUGCAGCGAUGCCGCGUGAGUGAAGAAGGCCUUUGGGUUGUAAAGCUCUUUCGUCGGGGAAGAAAAUGACUGUACCCGAAUAAGAAGGUCCGGCUAACUUCGUGCCAGCAGCCGCGGUAAUACGAAGGGACCUAGCGUAGUUCGGAAUUACUGGGCUUAAAGAGUUCGUAGGUGGUUGAAAAAGUUAGUGGUGAAAUCCCAGAGCUUAACUCUGGAACUGCCAUUAAAACUUUUCAGCUAGAGUAUGAUAGAGGAAAGCAGAAUUUCUAGUGUAGAGGUGAAAUUCGUAGAUAUUAGAAAGAAUACCAAUUGCGAAGGCAGCUUUCUGGAUCAUUACUGACACUGAGGAACGAAUGCAUGGGUAGCGAAGAGGAUUAGAUACCCUCGUAGUCCAUGCCGUAAACGAUGUGUGUUAGACGUUGGAAAUUUAUUUU
rnacentral:rRNA from 1 species